GCUCUCCGCGGCCCCGGCCUCCUCCCCAGCGGCCCCACCUCCCCGCAGCCCCUUCUCUCUCUGUCUUCUCCUCCUCUUCCUCCUCCUCCUCCUCCCCUGCCAGGAGCCGCACUGGAGGUGCGAGUUGAUCUCGGGGCUGGCGUGCUGCAAGGACCAGCUUCAGAGGCGACCUGGCAGAGGUGGGAGCGGCGGGGACAGUGGGAGAGGAGAGAGCAGACCCUUUGUCCUUUGCAGCCCAGGCCCCUGGGCUUCCUCCUGGCUUCUCUGGCCCUCGGGGCCCUGCCCAAAGCGUGAAAACAGCCCGGGAGUUCUCCACUUCCAAGAGAAACCCAUCGCUUUGGAGCGAGACCCUGAUGGGACCUUGUCGUCCUCAGCGGCCCCCUCUCUCCCUCUGGUUGACUUCAAGUUGGGGCCCAAGCAGAAACUACAGGGGUUCUCUGAAUGCGGUGUGGACUAACAAGAUAGGUGCUGUUGAUCACAAUGGGACACUAAGCUUUUGGCUGAUGGGGAGAAUGGUCAGAAUCCUCAUGGAGAGAGAAAAAAGGAGACGUGGGAUCAGUUUCUGCAAGAAGUUGGGUUAACAAGAAAAGGGGUAAUAGAGACACUUGAAGGACGAGACAUCUGCAGCAAAGAGACUACAUUUCCCUAGCUGGAAAAACAUCCAGGGCCAGCCUGUGGUGCUGGAGGCCUUGGCCUUCCCCCUCCCCAGGGCAGACUGGGUAGACUGGAGCGCCUACGGUGUGCAGAAAAUGAAGUGUCCCGGUUACACCCAUUCUCUUUAAAUACACUGAUCUUACAGGUUCCUGACAUCUUAGAUGGAGAAGUGGCUUUCAGAGACAGGGAACCCUAUGUGGGUUCUGCCCAUUCCCUUAAUGGAUAGCCCACAUUGCUGAAAAGUGUUUCCUUCCAUUUACCCAUUGCUUUUGAUUCCUGGAGUUUUACACAAGGAAUGUAAUCUAACUUCCACGUGUUCAGUUUGUCAAAUUUUUGAAACUAUUGGUCAUGUUCUCCCUAUAGAAGCUGUCCUCCCAUCUAACUAUCUCCCUUUCCGCCAUAUGACAGCCCCAACUUUCCUCAUCGACCAUACUGUAAAUUUUCCACGUUCAUGAAGUUUGGUGCUCAGAGCAUGGGGCAGUGUUUAAAGUGUUCCAGUGAGCAGGCAGAAGAGGAUCAUCCUUGUCCAGACAGCAUGCCUUUGUUGACAUUACUCUGGAUCAAGUUUAUUUUCUGGCAGCUAAAUCACAGUGUUGACUCACACCACACUUGAAGUCAACUGAAUUCCUCAAGAACUUUUCAUGUGUACUGUUAUUUAGUCACGUCCGCAUUACCCUGUGUCUGUGGAGUCGGUUUACUGUACCCAAGAUUUGAGCUUGGCCAUUUAUGAAAUUCUAUCCUGUUCUGAUUCUGUCCUGUUCAGUCCAUAUCUACAGCUACAUAUUGAGGGAGAUGUCCCAGAUUCCAAACUUGAAGAUUUCUGAGUUCAGAGGCAUACUGAACCUGAACAAUUUCAUAUAAGGAAUUAUGGGCCUGGAAUACCAACUGUAAACUGAAGUGUGCAACAUAAAAGGCAACAAUUUGAAGCACAAUAUUCUCUUAAGAUGUUGGGCAGUGACAGCAAACUACAACUCUCAGUCAGCCAUGCCAUCACCAGAGUAAACAACAAUGGGCUGGCAUUGUGGCACAGCGAGUUAAAGCCUCGGUCUGCAGCGCUGGCAUCCCAUAUGGGCGCUGGUUCAAGUCCCACUGCUCUACUUCCAAUCCAGCUUUCUGCUAUGGCCUGGGAAAGCAGCAGAAGAUGGCCGAAGUCCUUGGGCUCCUGUACCCGCAUGGGAGACCUAGAAGAAGCUCCGGCUCCCGGCUUCAGGCCAGCUCAGCUCUGGCCAUUGUGGUCAUUUGGGGAGUGAACCAGCAGAUGGAAGACCUCUCUCUCUCUCUCCCUCUCUCUGGCUCUGCCUCUCUCUG